AAAACCCCUCUUCACGAUCGUUCCUCUGUAAAACUCGAAUGGAUCAGCCCUCCAUGGAUCCAUCCUCAAAGUCCAAGCCUCCAAGGUUCUCCUCCCUCCAGCGUCUGAUUCUGAACCGCUUGGCCUACGCGCAUGAUGUAUGGCCGCAUACGUUAGCGAACAGCUCGAGGGCCGGCAACCGGCAGGCGAGUGGCGAAUCCGGGAAGAGCGGAUUCCGAUGAUCCGAUGGUGGAGUGCAGUUGCAUGGUACCCUGGUAAGCCUCCAUCCUCAUGAACUACCUUGGCAUCUUGCAUACCCAUUUGUGGCAGCACCAUCGAUCUGGGUCGCGAUCCCUCCAUCGACCCUCCUCGACCUGACUUCGUCCCCGAUCCUCGAUCGGGAUCGAUUGAACCCCGGGUCAGAGAUCGAACCCUCGACCCGCGAACUAGGCUACUAUGGUCCAGCCUGGAAAAUAAUCGGUAUCAAGAAAAAAGAAACCUUGAUGUGGAUACAUAACGGACCUUGAAGCUCUAGGGUUGUAGUAUUACUAUAAAUGAUGUGUUAGUACGUAAUUGUAGUAGCGUUGUGUGCAGGGUGUAUCUAUCAUAACUUGUCACAUAACUAGUUAAGGUUUUCAACAGCGUAUAUUUUUCUAAAAAUCCUGAAGAAAAUACUGAAGCUACAUACCUAUAAUAUAACAUGAUCCGGUGAAAGGAUUGAAAAAUUACUAUAGUAUAUGCCUUGGAUAAAAAAAUCUAAUAGUGAUGGUAAGUAGUAGAACUGAGAAUUAUAAAACGGAAAAACAAUUUUUUUUAGAAGAGCCCAGCUGUAAACCGGAAAGGAGGGAGUAUGUCUCAAUGAGCUGAAAUGAUUGUUUGUUUUUAGUGAGAACACAUAAAUGCAUAUUUUCACAAUUCGUCCGUUGGAUCACCUUAUUACAUCAUAGUGGUGCUCCCCUAUCUUUUUUAAUUUUUUUAUAAUGUUGAAACAGUUAAAAGCUUACUGUGGCUUAGAUACAUUCAUAUCUACAAAAAUCUAAGACAAGAAUUUUGGGACAGAAGAAGUAUGUAAAAAGAAGAGUAAGAUGGAGCAUGUUAAAAUUUGCCCAGCCAGUAAUGAUAAAAUUGGCUGUACAAGGCGGUCGUGAGAACCCGGGCUCUGCGCUGCCAGUGCUCACCUGUCGGGUAUGUAGGUCGUUACUUGAAAAUCAAAACCCAGACAAGCAACACUUUUAGCAUUGUGGAUAUCCACGUCAACGUCUGCAAAAAAGACUAGCAAAUUGGAAAGGAAAACUACAAUCUCUAGGAGGAAGAUUGGUACUCAUAAAUUCGGUGCUAACUAAUAUGGUAUUGUACUCCCUCCGUCCGGAAUUACUCGUCACCAAGAUGGAAAGAAAUGAAUGUAUCUAGAAUUAAAAUAUGUCUAGGUGCAUCCAUUUUUAUGCCAAGUAAUUCCGGAUGGAGGGAGUAUAUGAUAUCUUUCUUCCAGCUACGCAAAGGAGUCUUACAAAGAUUACAUUAUUUCCGAUCGAGACUUUUUUGGCAAGGGGAUAGUGAGAAAAAUAAAUAUCGAUUGACUAAAUGGAAUGUCGUUUGCCGACCAAAAGGCCAAGGAGGAUUGGGUAUUCAUGACCUACAUGUUAAGAACUCAGCCCUCUUGGGUAAGUGGCUUUUCAAGAUACUUACGGAAGAUGGCGUCUGGCAAACAUUUCUUAAACGAAAAUACAUAGGCACCAAACCGCUAUCACAGGUAAUCUGGAAACGUCGUGAUUCACACUUUUGGGCCGGCCUAAUGGAGACUAAGAAACAUUUGUUUCGCUUUGGUGUAUUUAAGAUUAAGGAUGGAUCGGAAAUUAUAUUUUCGGAGAAUAAGUGGUUAGGAAAUACCACACUCCGUGAGCAAUAUCUGGCCUAGCUUAUACCCCCUUCGUAAACUAAUAUAAGAGCAUUUAGAAUCUAAAUGCUCUUAUAUUAGUUUACAGAGGGAGUACAAUAUUGCGCUCAACAAAGGUGCUACACUUGGAUCUAUCAUGUAAGUCUCACCAAGAUGACGUUCAGACGAGACUUGAUCGGUGCGAGGCUCCAGUCAUGGAAUACCCUGUUAGGCCGGUUAGCAUUAGUCCGGCUGACACAAGGUACGGAUGAGUUUCGUUGGAAUCUAUGUGAGAAUGAUAGAUUCUCCGUGGAUUUCAUAUAUAGGGCGAUGCUACAGUUCGACAUCUGAGUCGAUAAUAACAGAAAAAAUGGCAGAUGAAGGUAUCACUGAAAUUAAAGAUUUUUGCGAGGUACCUUCGCACACGUGUCAUUUUAAUUAAAGACAACCUCAUCAAACGUAGCUGGCAUGGAAGCAUGAAGUGUGUAUUUUGUCCUAAAAAAGAGACAAUAAAACACUUAUUCUUUGAUUGCCAGUUCACACGUUUAUCUGGUCGGCUAUCCAAAUGGCUUCCAACUUGUAUCCACCCACUUCCGUUGCCAAUGUUUUUGGCAAUUGGUUAACCGGGAUUCAUACUAAGUUUAUAAUCAUUCUUCGGUAGGAGCACUUGCCAUUAUAUGAUCGCUUUGGCUGAGGAGAAAUGAGAAAGUUUUCAAUGAUAAUAAUUACUCUCGCUUGCAGGUUCUAUUUCGAUGCACAGGGAUUCUCCGUUCGUGGUCCACCUUACAACGGACGGAGUUUCGAGACCUUUUUAUGGUGGCUUCUGGACAACUAGUGAAGGUGACGAGGGAUAUUUUCAUCCCAAAUGGGUAGCAGCGUGACCUCCGGAUUGGGUCUUCAU
rnacentral:lncRNA from 1 species